CCUCAUGUCAGCCCAGAUUCCCAUAAGGUGGGUCUGAUUCCAGUGAGCAAACACAAGAGGGAUGACAGAAGCAGGUGUCACCCUCUGACAACCAGAAGGCAGCAACUGCUUCAGGGUGGGGCCGUCCAGGAUCUCUAGGCCCGUGGGGGAAGGCAGCGGGAGCCUGUUCACAGGUGCCUCCAGGCUCAGAGGAGCCUGCCCUCAGAUGCUCCUUGAGUACACAGCCCCAGAGGGAGCUUCCAAGUGGACAGACAGCGCAGACACGUGUUCCGGGCCAGCGUGAAGACGUCUGUUGGCUGGAGGUCUGAUAUUCUGGUUUUUUUUUUUUUUUUGAGACGGAGUUUCGGCUCGUUUCCCCAGCUGGAGUGCAAUGGCGCAACCUCAGCUCACUGCAACCUCCACCUGCUGGGUUCAAGCGAUUCUCCUGCCUCAG
rnacentral:antisense_RNA from 1 species